rnacentral:tRNA from 1 species
GAAACUUAGGAUUAUCUAAAACCGAAGGCCUUCAAAGCCUUAAAAAAGAGUUAAACUCUCUUAGUUUCUG